rnacentral:rRNA from 1 species
AUGAACGCUGGCGGCGUGCCUAAUACAUGCCAGUCGAGCGAACGGACGAGAAGCUUGCUUCUCUGAUGUUAGCGGCGGACGGGUGAGUAACACGUGGAUAACCUACCUAUAAGACUGGGAUAACUUCGGGAAACCGUAGCUAAUACCGGAUAAUAUUUUGAACCGCAUGGUUCAAAAGUGAAAGACGGUCUUGCUGUCACUUAUAGAUGGAUCCGCGCUGCAUUAGCUAGUUGGUAAGGUAACGGCUUACCAAGGCAACGAUGCAUAGCCGACCUGAGAGGGUGAUCGGCCACACUGGAUCUGAGACACGGUCCAGACUCCUACGGGAGGCAGCAGUAGGGAAUCUUCCGCAAUGGGCGAAAGCCUGACGGAGCAACGCCGCGUGAGUGAUGAAGGUCUUCGGAUCGUAAAACUCUGUUAUUAGGGAAGAACAUAUGUGUAAGUAACUGUGCACAUCUUGACGGUACCUAAUCAGAAAGCCACGGCUAACUACGUG